rnacentral:rRNA from 1 species
UACGUAGGGGGCAAGCGUUGUCCGGAUUUAUUGGGCGUAAAGAGCGUGUAGGCGGCCUGGCAAGUCCGCUGUGAAAACUCGAGGCUCAACCUCGAGACGUCGGCGGAAACCAUCUGGCUAGAGUCCGGAAGAGGAGAGUAGAAUUCCUGGUGUAGCGGUGAAAUGCGCAGAUAUCAGGAAGAACACCCGUGGCGAAGGCGGCUCUCUGGGACGGUACUGACGCUGAGACGCGAAAGCGUGGGGAGCGAACAGG